rnacentral:rRNA from 1 species
CCUACGGGCGGCAGCAGUGGGGAAUAUUGCACAAUGGGCGAAAGCCUGAUGCAGCAACGCCGCGUGAGCGAUGAAGGCCUUCGGGUCGUAAAGCUCUGUCCUCAAGGGAGAUAAUGACGGUGCUUGAGGAGGAAGCCCCGGAUAACUAAGUACCAGCAGCCGCGGUAAUACGUAGGGGGCUAGCGUUAGCCGGAAUUACUGGGGGUAAAGGGUGAGUAGGUGGUUUCUUAAGUCAGAGGUGAAAGGUUACGGCUCAACCGUAGUAAGCCGUUGAAACUGGGAAACUUGAGUGCAGGAGAGGAGAGUGGAAUUCCUGGUGUAGCGGUGAAAUGCGUAGAUAUUAGGAGGAACACCAGUUGCGAAGGCGGCUCUCUGGACUUUAACUGACACUGAGGCACGAAAGCGUGGGGAGCAAACAGGAUUAGAUACCCGGGUAGUC